GCGGGAUAGCAGCAAUGCCAUGAGAGCUGGGCACGGGUGCGUAACGCGUAUGCAACUGCCCUAUACAGGGAAUAGCCCAUGGAAACGUGGAUUAAAGUCCCAUAGGAUUACGGAUCCGCAUGGAUUUGUGAUUAAAACUGAGGUGGUAUAAGAUGGGCAUGCGUCUGAUUAGGUAGUUGGUGAGGUAAUGGCUCACCAAGCCGACGAUCAGUAGGGGUUCUGAGAGGAUUACCCCCCACACUGGUACUGAGACACGGACCAGACUCCUACGGGAGGCAGCAGUGAGGAAUAUUGGUCAAUGGCCGAAAGGCUGAACCAGCCAUCCCGCGUGCAGGAUGACGGCCCUAUGGGUUGUAAACUGCUUUUGUACCUGAAGAAACCUGUUUACGAGUAGACAGUUGCCGGUAAGGUAUGAAUAAGCAUCGGCUAACUCCGUGCCAGCAGCCGCGGUAAUACGGAGGAUGCAAGCGUUAUCCGGAUUCAUUGGGUUUAAAGGGUGCGCAGGUGGGAAAAUAAGUCAGUGGUGAAAUAC
rnacentral:rRNA from 1 species